rnacentral:lncRNA from 1 species
AAUCUACAUUUUAACAAGAUCCCUGCUUGUGUCAGAUGAACAUUAAACUUUAACAAGACUGCUCAAACCUAUUUAUAUACAAGGCAACUGGGGUCCAAGAAUUCGAGGUCACAUGGGUAAACCAGGAGGCUGUGUGUGUAACUGGAUAAGAGCCCAUGCUUCGAGUCCGGUGGACCAGUGUUCAAAUCCAGGCACCCUGCUUUGCUAGCCUAAAAAUCUCAGGCCCCAGAACAAAGCUCUAAGCCUCCAAUUAUUUGUUGUUAAACAAGUAGCAAUACUACUUCACAGGCUAAUUAUGAAGAUAAAAUGAAAAGCCUGUAAAAAGCACCGAGAAAGCUCUCAAUAAACAACUCUUAUGAUCAUUAUUCUGACUGGGAUUUCCUGAUUCUGUGCAGCUUCAUAGGCAUCCUAUGUUGCAUGCAAGAAAUGGGAAAUCAUGCUUUAGAGAAAUUUGCUCUUUUUGAGACUAUUAUAUCUAAUUUAGAUUCUGGGGUUUGAAAGAAUGAGGACAAGGGCGGGGGGGUGGGGGGGGCUCUAAAGCAAAGGGAACAGAAUGUGGUACAGCUGGAGAUUUCUCAGGCUCCUGCUUCUCUGACUCCUCCCGGCUUGGCUUGUCCGUGACGUCUGGGCAGAGCCAGCCAGCCCCUGCGGAAACGCCCAGAAACAAUGAGCAGAGAAGAGAUGCUGUUUCAAAAUGGGAAAAGCCAGUGGGUAUCUAGGGGAAUUCCGGGCAGAGAUAAAUUGGCCCACAUGACAUCUCAGCGAAAACUCAAGGUCAAAUGAGUCCUUUAAUUCAAGCAUCAGUGGGACUGCGAAGGCUAUGUACAUGUCUGCCAACUAAAGGAUGAACACUUAUAUGUUUAUCUGUGACUUCUAAGUAAAGAAUUCUACUUUGUCCAUUCAUCUAUGGAUGGACAAGUAGGUUGCUUCUAUAUCUUGUCUAUCGUAAAUAAUGCUGUCAUGAACAUAUAUCUUUUCUAAUUAGUAUUUUUGUUUCCUUUGGGUAGAUACCCAGAAGAAUUGCUGAGUUGUAUGGUGAUUCUAUUUUUAAUUUGUUGAG